CUGGGAGGGGGUCGCAGAGGCCAAAAUAGCAGCUCUGGAAGCAGGGUCCAAAGGGGUGGAACUGGAGGAGGGGAGUGUGGGGGGCAGCCCUGAGGGAGGGGAAAGAGGCUAAACAAAUAAUCCCGAAGAAAGAGCCAAGCUAUGCUUGUGGGGGAGGAUAUCCGCGGUUGGGGUCCGAAGCCAAAGGACUAGCCUUGGGCAGAGGGUCUGAGUGGGUGGCUCUGGAGGAGGUGGGAAUGAGAGACAGCCUGGGGGAGGGGACUGAGGAGCUGCCCGGGGCUACUGGCAGGGUUGCAGGGGAUGGGCUAAAGAAACAGCCCUGGAGGAGUGUGUCUGAGAGGGUGGCACUGGAGAAGAGAGGGCAGGAAAGAGGCUUCAGGACAUGUCACAACAGAUUGACUGCAGAAGCAGGUCCUUCUGGUUGUGCUGUGUGGGACGCUGCCCCACCAUGGCCUGAUGAGUGGUGCCAUGUCUGUGCCCACGACUGGAACCUGUGAAACCCUGGGCCACUGAAGCGGAGCACGUGAACCCAACCACUCAGCCAUGGGGCCAG
rnacentral:lncRNA from 1 species